rnacentral:ncRNA from 2 species
AUCUUAUCCAGAGAAGGUGGAGGGACAGGCCCUAUGAAACCCAGCAACCGUCAUCCUUAGAUGAAAAGGUGCUAACCUGAUGCAAGGAAGACCUCCUUGAACGAUAAGAG